rnacentral:rRNA from 1 species
AGCAGUAGCCGCGGGAAAACGAAGGGGGCUAGCGUUGUUCGGAUUUACUGGGCGUAAAGGGCGCGUAGGCGGACUGAUAAGUCAGGGGUGAAAUCCCAAGGCUCAACCUUGAACUGCCUUUGAUACUGUUUGUCUUGAGUUCGAGAGAGGUAAGUGGAACUGCGAGUGUAGAGGUGAAAUUCGUAGAUAUUCGCAAGAACACCAGUGGCGAAGGCGGCUUACUGGCCCGAUACUGACGCUGAGGCACGAAAGCGUGGGGAGCAAACAGGAUUAGAUACCCCGGUAGUCCCUGUCUCUUAUACA